UCAAAAAAACCCCAAAUCAAAACCCCACCGAUUAAGAUCUGUAUACAAAUCUGUUUUCAUUAAUUUAUACUUUUCAUCUUAUUCUCCUUCUUUUUCUGUAAUCAAACCCAUCUUUAAAGCUAAUGUUGUCUUCUUCUUCAUCUCACAAAAGUGACUCAUCAAAUUCAUAACAGUACAUCUGAAACUCAAAAGCUAUAAUAUUCAUCCUAUUCCUCUUCUUUAAAUUCGUGUGUACCAUUGCAU
rnacentral:lncRNA from 1 species